rnacentral:lncRNA from 1 species
GGAAAGUUCACUAAGCCAAUUGCAUGCCUUUCACAGUGGUGGGCAUGUACUUCCCAAUUAGUCCCACUGAGCCAGCAAGACUGUUUGCCUGAGAGCCUUCAUCACUGAAAAACAAAACAAAACAAACAAAAAACCAAAACAAAAUAAAAACAAACAAACAAACAAAAAACAACCCAAAGAGGAUCACAGUCUGGCACUUUGCAAUUAGCACAACAUUGUCAGGGUUUCACUUUCCUGCUUAAAUCCUGUAAUGAGCAGCCAUUGGAAAAGGAGGCAAAGGUUGGCAUACAUGUCAAGAGAACAUUCUCCAGCUGGGGCCUGCAGUAUAGAGAAUUGUAUACUCCAGAGGGCUCAUGGGACCUUAGGCAGAUUAUUAUGGUAAUAUUGGAGACUGCUGUCCUUUCCCUCCCACAGCUGGGCCGCCUCUCUCAUUGUUCUCCUGGAAAUCAGGGCCUGAGCUAUCUUCCUCCUUUCCUUCCUUUUUGUACCCUGAAUUCCUCUUUUCAGGUAACAAGUAUUGGCUCUCAUCUUUCUGAAUUGUAAACAAUCUUUUGAGAUAGAGUGUCCCCUCCAGUUGCAGCAUUUCCUUUUUCCAUAAUUCUCCUGCUAUCAGUUUUGCCCUGUAUUCUUCAGAUUCCUCAGCUUCUUUCAACAGCAGUUCUUGCUUGCAAUAUUGCUAAUGAUAGAACACAAUCUACAGCCCAGCAACCACAGGUUGCCUAAUACCUUCCUUAGAGACUUUUUUUUUUCAUUUGUCACACAUGGGUUAAGUGUGACGUUUAGAAAGACAGUGCAAUCUAUUUGGCUUUUUCCUAUAUUUUGUACAAUGAAAAACCCAGGUGGAAUGACAAACAGUUGAAGAAAGCUGUACAUUUCUCUCUUGGGGUUAGUGUUUAAGGCUAAAUCAGCACUGCCUGAUGAAUCUGCCUUAGGGAAUAAUCCUUAGCCUAUGGAAAAAGUGGUACAUUUGACUUUUUUUUUUUUUCCAGCAUAGCAGGCAAGUGCAGGGUUGAGGGAAUCAAAUUUAGAUCAAUCUCCUCUGUAUUGCCUCUAACCCGUGCUCCUAUCAGUGGUCUAUCCCCCAUACUCCACUUGUUUUCUGUUUUUCUGUUUUGUUUUCUGUUUGAAGGGUGUUAGAUGGUUCAUUCCUAACAAGGUCCCAGGAGCAAAAUAGUACUUUAGCAAUGUGGGUCAUCAGAGAACUCAGAAGUCAGAACCCUGGAUAAACUGGGUAUGGGUUUACUGUAGUACUCCAGCAUUUUCCCGGUGAAGAUAUGAAUGCACGGUAUGAGUGAAGAUAUGAUUAGUAGGAGGAAUCUUCCAAGCAGUGGUACUAUUUUUGAGUCCCCAUACCAGCUACC